CCGCACGGUAAACGAUGGACACCCGCUGUCGGCGAUACACUGUCGGCGGCCAAGCGAAAGCGUUAAGUGUCCCACCUGGGGAGUACGCCGGCAACGGUGAAACUCAAAGGAAUUGACGGGGGCCCGCACAAGCGGAGGAACAUGUGGUUUAAUUCGAUGAUACGCGAGGAACCUUACCCGGGCUUAAAUCACAUACGAACGUUCCGGAAACGGGACGGCCGCAAGGCGUAUGUGAAGGUGCUGCAUGGUUGU
rnacentral:rRNA from 1 species